GAGGGUUUGGUCUAAUUGGAAAAGACGUCAAACAUUGCCUGAAAAUGUAGGUUCGAAUCCUACAAUCCUCU
rnacentral:tRNA from 1 species